GCUGGCUUUCCUACUUGUGGAUACAACACAAAUUCCUUCUCCUUCCCCCUCACCCAACCAUCCCCCUCCUCUGAGCAUACAAUACGGAAUGAAUUGGUCGAAGUGUUGACAUUGCUUCAAAGCUUUCUUCUGAAAGGACUGCACGCCAAUUCAACAAUUGUUAUGAGGAGCAAAUGCAUGUUUGACCUUGACAUUUAGCAACAACAUCUCUUUCAAGAAUUUUUUUACUUUUAUCCAGGAUUGCCUUCAUCCCAACGCCAAUGCUAAUAUGGAUCUCUUUCUUCUUUGUUUUAUACUCACAAGCAGGCAUUAAGAGCCCAUUCUCUUAGUGAGAAAUAAUAUUCUGGAGUUGUUACCCGCAGAUCUUAUUUCCUACACCUCUAACUGGAGAUAAGGAAUCAGAAUUUGUGACAAACUGAAAGUUUGUAAUUCACCUCUCUGGAGUCCUACUAUCUCACACAAAAAAAUGUAGAAUAGAUGAUAAGUUUCACCUUGCCAACUUCAGACUUUAAAGCAGGCCUCCAGAUUUCUGGAUUUUCCCGAGCUCGAAAAGAAGCAAGAAGAAUCUGAUUUCCUAAUUGAUUUAGGACGGUUCCCUUUACUUCAAACCAUUUGCAACACUUUAAUACACCCAUUUGAAUUAGCAGCAACAACCAUGUCUGAUUUCCCUCU
rnacentral:misc_RNA from 1 species